rnacentral:rRNA from 1 species
CUACGGGGCGCACCAGUGGGGAAUAUUGCACAAUGGACGAAAGUCUGAUGCAGCAACGCCGCGUGGAGGAUGACACUUUUCGGAGCGUAAACUCCUUUUAUAUAGGAAGAUAAUGACGGUACUAUAUGAAUAAGCACCGGCUAACUCCGUGCCAGCAGCCGCGGUAAUACGGAGGGUGCAAGCGUUACUCGGAAUCACUGGGCGUAAAGAGCGUGUAGGCGGGUUAAUAAGUCAGAAGUGAAAUCCAAUGGCUCAACCAUUGAACUGCUUUUGAAACUGUUAACCUAGAAUAUGGGAGAGGUAGAUGGAAUUUCUGGUGUAGGGGUAAAAUCCGUAGAGAUCAGAAGGAAUACCGAUUGCGAAGGCGAUCUACUGGAACAUUAUUGACGCUGAGACGCGAAAGCGUGGGGAGCAAACAGGAUUAGAUACCCGAGUAGUC